rnacentral:rRNA from 1 species
UCGAGAAUUUUUCUCAAUGGGGGAAACCCUGAAGGAGCGACGCCGCGUGGAGGAUGAAGGUUUUCGGAUUGUAAACUCCUGUCAUUGGUGAACAAGACUGCCGAUUAACUGUCGGUUAGUUUGCUAGUAGCCGAAGAGGAAGGGACGGCUAACUCUGUGCCAGCAGCCGCGGUAAUACAGAGGUCCCGAGCGUUGUUCGGAUUCAUUGGGCGUAAAGGGUGCGUAGGCGGCGGGGCAAGUCUGAUGUGAAAUCCCGGGGCUCAACCCCGGAACUGCAUUGGAUACUGCCUUGCUAGAGUACUGGAGAGGGAACUGGAAUUUACGGUGUAGCAGUGAAAUGCGUAGAGAUCGUAAGGAAGGCCAGUGGCGAAGGCGAGUUCCUGGACAGUUACUGACGCUGAGGCACGAAGGCCAGGGGAGCAAACGGG